rnacentral:rRNA from 1 species
GAUGAACGCUGGCGGCGUGCCUAAUACAUGCAAGUCGAGCGAACGGACGAGAAGCUUGCUUCUCUGAUGUUAGCGGCGGACGGGUGAGUAACACGUGGAUAACCUACCUAUAAGACUGGGAUAACUUCGGGAAACCGUAGCUAAUACCGGAUAAUAUUUUGAACCGCAUGGUUCAAAAGUGAAAGACGGUCUUGCUGUCACUUAUAGAUGGUUCCGCGCUGCAUUAGCUAGUUGGUAAGGUAACGGCUUACCAAGGCAACGAUGCAUAGCCGACCUGAGAGGGUGAUCGGCCACACUGGAACUGAGACACGGUCCAGACUCCUACGGGAGGCAGCAGUAGGGAAUCUUCCACAAUGGGCGAAAGCCUGACGGAGCAACGCCGCGUGAGUGAUGAAGGUCUUCGGAUCGUAAAACUCUGUUAUUAGGGAAGAACAGAUGUGUAAGUAACUGUGCACAUCUUGACGGUACCUAAUCAGAAAGCCACGGCUAACUACGUG